CCUACGGGAGGCAGCAGUAGGGAAUAUUGCUCAAUGGGGGAAACCCUGAAGCAGCAACGCCGCGUGGAGGAUGAAGGUUUUAGGAUUGUAAACUCCUUUUGUUAGAGAAGAUUAUGACGGUAUCUAACGAAUAAGCACCGGCUAACUCCGUGCCAGCAGCCGCGGUAAUACGGAGGGUGCAAGCGUUAUUCGGAAUCACUGGGCGUUAAGAGUGCGUAGGCGGGGUAAUAAGUCAGAUGUGAAAUCCUGUAGCUUAACUACAGAACUGCAUUUGGAACUGUUACUCUGGAGUGUGGGAAAGGUAGGUGGAAUUCGUGGUGUAGUGGUAAAAUGCGUAGAGAUCAAGAGGAAUACUCAUUGCGAAGGCGACCUGCUGGAACAUUACUGACGCUGAUGCACGAAAGCGUGGGGAGCAAACAGGAUUAGAUACCCCAGUAGUC
rnacentral:rRNA from 1 species